AUGGUACGCAGGGGAGGCCUGGGGCCACAGUGGUGCUGUCUGCUGUGGUACUGCCAUGGCAACAGUCAGCCGGUGCCAGAGAAGCUUCAGCACAGCUUUCUGUUUGUUUUUUUUAAGACAGGAGACAAGGUCUCAUUCUGUCACCCAGGCUGGAGUGCAAUGUCGCAAUCAUGGCUCACUGCAGCCUCGACCUCCCGGGCUCAAUUGAUCCUCCCACUUCAGCCUCCCAAGUAGCUGGGACUACAGGCUUGUCCCACCACAGCCAGCUAAUUUUUUGUACUUUUUUUUUUUUUUUGUAGAGACAGUGUUUCGCCAUGUUGCCCAGGGUGGUCUCGAACUUCUGGGCUCCAGCGAUCUGCCCACUUUCAGCCUCCUAAAGUGCUGGGAUCACAGGUGUGAGCCACCGUGCCUGGCAGCACAGCAUUCUCGAGCUGUUCCACCUUCUUCAGGGGCAGCCAGGAUGUCUCACUCGAGUGAAGGUCACACUGCCCCUUGUUUUCAUUCCUGAAAACAUGUUUGAAAGUCCAUGUUGUUAGAAGGAUUCUGUGCCAGAUUCCCAAGAAAACAAAAUGACUUGGCUGUGCUUUGCAUAGAUGUUCUGUACCCUUGCUUCUGGAAGCAGGGCCAGCUCCUUUCCUGGGGUGGCCUGGGGCCCUGGCCAUUCCCCGGAAACAUUUGAUGAAUGAGGCUCAUGUCCUAAUUAAGCUGCUUUAGCCAGGGCCGCAUUUUCCAAGAGCUGGAACAUCUUCUCUAUUCUGAGUAUUAAACAGUCACAAGUCAUUUAUUCCACACAUUACUUGAGAACAUACUAUGUGCCCUACACUGGACUCUAGGUUUGAAAUUAUCCAUGAAAACAGCCAUGUGAUGCCCUCUUUGGCCCAAGCUCCCACAACAGAGCCAAGCAACAAACUCUCAGGCUGUGUGGCAGGGCUAGGGGAGGCACAGCAGCCCCCAGGUGAGUCCCGCCAGUGUGAGGAGGAGGCUGCCGUCACAGUGGCACCACCACAGGGAAGGGAAGCUCCCCAUGGUCACCACAACUGGGUCUCAGAAGCAGAGUGUCCCACAGAAGGGCCCUUUCUUGGGAACCCACAAGUAGCUGCUCAGUCAGGGCUCAGUUGUGUGUAGUUUGUUCAUUACCAUCCAAGAGCAGUCACAGCUGCUCUAGCUAGUGACUUUAGAAAUCUGUUCUGGCUGUGAUUGCUAAGCGUCACCUUAAGAACAGCACACUCUUGCCCUGGGGCUCAGGAGCUCGUUUGUCCUGUCUGUCCUGCAGGACUUAGAAAGGGCCGGCAGCAGGAGCAGCAGCUGGGCCGGGCAGGGGAGGUAUCGGGUGGGGGCCCUAGUCUUCAAUAGUGUCUCAUCUCCCUCGCUGGCCUCUGUGGGGCCUGCUGAGAGCAGCCUCGGCAGCAGCACGACUGUGUCCUGUUCCUCGAGCAGGGUCCCUUGCUGCAGGCCACCCUCUGCUGAGGCCUGACCAUUGCUCUCUGGCUCCAGGGGUGCAGGAAAAGCUGGGUGUGAUGAACAAAGGUGUGGCGUAUGCUCUGUGGGACUACGAGGCCCAGAACAGUGACGAGCUGUCCUUCCACGAAGGGGACGCCCUCACCAUCCUGAGGCGCAAGGACGAAAGCGAGACUGAGUGGUGGUGGGCUCGCCUUGGAGACCGGGAGGGCUAUGUGCCCAAAAACCUGCUGGGGCUGUAUCCACGGAUCAAACCCCGACAGCGAACACUCGCCUGAACUUCCUUUUGGAGCACCGCAUGGUCUUGCCAGCUACCAGGAGCCACUUAAGAGAUUAUUGUGCUGUUUUCCAGGAAAGCUGCAGCUAGAAAAUGGUCUUAAUGGUGCUCACUUUAGCAGACAGCGUCCACAAUGUGAAUCCUACAGUUUCCAGGUGAGGCCCUUUCUCCAGUUUGCCCAUUAACUGGGAGAGGUACUUUCGCCUCCAAGGACUGAAUUUUGCCAAUUACUAUAAAUCCAAAUAAAUACCCACUUUCAAAACACCCACCCCUCUUGCCAUUAAGAAGUCCCAUAACCCCCGGUUGGUUGCCAGUGAAGACAGAAGCUCUUACUGACUUGGCCCCGAGGCCAUCACCCCCUCCAGCAGUGAACACUGUCCGCCGCUGUGAGGCCUGCUCCCCUGCGACCGCCCUGCCCCCCGUCACCGAAUCGGACACUCAUCCUUUCUCACACUUCCCACACAUGAUCCUUCUUCCCUUCAUCACCAAAGGAGCCUCUGUAUGGAAACAUGUCCAGUGUUGCUGCCCAGUGUGUAUGCCUCCCAGUACCCACUCUGCUCGGCCGCCUUGGGGGUUCCGCUUCCUGUUCCAGUUCACCUAAAGGCUGAUUGUGCAGGCCCAGCACUGUGGCUGGACUGCCGCGCCACGGGCACCAGGACCCCUAAGACCAAGUGACAACUGGGAGAGCCUCAGCAUAUACUCUUCUCCUCCGAUCUCACAGCCUGUCAUGCUGCUCAGUGUGGUUCUCACCCCUGCAAGCUCAAAUUCAGUUCCCUGAAUGGAGUCAGGUGCUGGAGGCCGUGGCAGCGGAGGGUGGUUGGGGUUGGGGCUGGGGGUGGACUGGUGUGAGGGCAGACCAGGGCCAGGUAGACGGGGCUGUUUGGUGCCUGAAGGAUGGCAGACGCCUGGUGUCAGGAGGGGCCGCCACCAAGGAGCAGCAGCUGGGGCAGAGGAGCUGGGGUCAGGGGCCACCCCUCUCUGCCGAUCUCCCUGCCUGGGCUGGCUGUGAGGCCACCUUUGUCCCAGGCCCAGCCUCAAGGCAAGGAGGGCGCUUCACUGAGGUGUGAAUUGUACGUACAGGCUUUUUAUAUACCAAAAGUAUUUUUUGACUAGACCAUUCAAAGCUACCCGAACUAUGUUGGAAAUUUUUUUUUUCUCAUUAAAAUACAGGCCCUUAGGCUCUAUUUUUCAUGUAUGAGUCGUGUGUAAUUUAUGUAAAAAUGUGUGUACAGACUCACUGAUGCAGCACUGUAGCCCAUCACCUUGGAGCACUGACUGUACAUAGUGUGGUGAAGAAAAGUGAACGCCCUUGUAGAGCAGCCCGACCACAGGAGCAUGGCCGCUGCCAGCCCAGACGCUGCUGACGCUGUGUAAAUGUGCACAAUAAACCCGUCUCACCCCG
rnacentral:lncRNA from 10 species